GUGAAUCAUCGAAUCUUUGAACGCAAAUUGCACUCUCUUGUGUGAGUAUGCCUGUUUGAGGGUCAGCCUCAGAAAAAUCCACAUAGUCUCUGUUUCGCGGUGACAUUCGUCGGAAAUUGGGUCAUCUUAAACCUUUUGGUUUUAAGUGGCUUAUAAUUGUCUUUACGAGUCUACGACCGUUACUAAUAUUUACUUACACGUUUUCGGUAUCGAUUUUUAUUAUACGUGGCUGUUGCAUCGGAUCGCGUCCAUAAAUAUGUCUUUAACUGU
rnacentral:misc_RNA from 1 species